rnacentral:rRNA from 1 species
AACGAACGCUGGCGGCAGGCUUAACACAUGCAAGUCGAACGGUUCCUUCGGGAACAGUGGCAGACGGGUGAGUAACACGUGGGAAUCUACCCAUCCCUACGGAACAACUCCGGGAAACUGGAGCUAAUACCGUAUACGCCCUUUGGGGGAAAGAUUUAUCGGGGAUGGAUGAGCCCGCGUUGGAUUAGCUAGUUGGUGGGGUAAAGGCCUACCAAGGCGACGAUCCAAAGCUGGUCUGAGAGGAUGAUCAGCCACAUUGGGACUGAGACACGGCCCAAACUCCUACGGGAGGCAGCAGUGGGGAAUAUUGGACAAUGGGCGCAAGCCUGACCCAGCCAUGCCGCGUGAGUGAUGAAGGUCUUAGGAUUGUAAAGCUCUUUCACCGAUGAAGAUAAUGACGGUAGUCGGAGAAGAAGCCCCGGCUAACUUCGUGCCAGCAGCCGCCGUAA